GGAGCUUGCCCACCUUUAUUUGCAGAGUGAAGACAAGAUCAAGGCCAUUCCUAGCCUGCAUGGCCCCCUGAUGGUGUUGAACCACGUGGUACAGCAGGACUAUUUCCCCAAGACCCUUGCACCGCUGCUGCUGGCGUUUGUGACAAAGCCCAAUGGUGCACUGGAAUCCUGCUCCUUUGCCCGCCACAGUCUGCUGCAGACGCUGUACAGCAUCUAGAUCUAAAACCAGCUGCUUCUUGUCCCUCACCCUGCCCCAGUGACUGGGGGACUUGGAUGGACUGAGCUCAGCCAGCAUCUCCAUUGGAUAGGAUUUUGACCAGAGGCAGGGAAGUGUCUUUGUCCCUCGUGUCGUGUUGGUCCUUUGAUACUAUGUUGGUUUGGUGUGUGUGGGUAUGUUCUUCCUGUCUGGACUGCAGAGCUUCAUCUCCCUGCUGGACUCACCCUGGUCCACUGUAGGGCAUUGAUGCCCAGGGGAAGGGCUGAAAGCUGCUUAGUUAUUAAACUUAGGCCAACUUAGCCAUAGGCCCUGUUGGCUGU
rnacentral:lncRNA from 1 species